CCCUCCCGCCGUUCGUAUCACAAAGUUUUGUUUCGCAGAAAAAAGGAACAAGUUGCAAACAAAAUAUUUGCGGAGAAAGCCAGAGCCAGGAUGGUGGUGGGCACGAGGGUACAGGGAGCAAGAUGAACGGAGGAACACAGAGAGCACAAAUUGAAAAUUGACGACAAACAAAUAAACAAUUGAGCUCUCUCUCA
ensembl:ncRNA C34D1.7 ncRNA